CCUACGGGAGGCAGCAGUGGGGAAUAUUGGACAAUGGGGGCAACCCUGAUCCAGCCAUGCCGCGUGUGUGAAGAAGGCCCUCGGGUUGUAAAGCACUUUCAGUGAGGAAGAACGCCUGGUGGUUAAUACCCAUCAGGAAAGACAUCACUCACAGAAGAAGCACCGGCUAACUCCGUGCCAGCAGUCGCGGUAAUACGGAGGGUGCGAGCGUUAAUCGGAAUUACUGGGCGUAAAGCGCGCGUAGGUGGCUUGAUAAGCCGGGUGUGAAAGCCCCGGGCUCAACCUGGGAACGGCAUCCGGAACUGUCAAGCUAGAGUGCAGGAGAGGAAGGUAGAAUUCCCGGUGUAGCGGUGAAAUGCGUAGAGAUCGGGAGGAAUACCAGUGGCGAAGGCGGCCUUCUGGACUGACACUGACACUGAGGUGCGAAAGCGUGGGUAGCAAACAGGAUUAGAUACCCCUGUAGUC
rnacentral:rRNA from 1 species